UGUAUGAUACGUAUGCAAUCAACAUGACAAUGCUGCUUGCUCUUGACAACUGUAGCGUUGGGUCGGCUGUGAGAGCAGCGGAUGCUCCACUCAUACGGAACAACAAUGGCAGCGAAUGGCACAAUAAUCCAAGGAAAAGAAGGAGAGAGUUCACAUCCGCUUGUCUCUGUCAAAUUCAACGGUGUUUGACACCCAAAUUAGCCGUGUUAAACAUCGAUAUCCCACUCCCACCAUGUGAUGAAAUAACUUUUAGGUGGUGGUAGUAAUUUUUUAAACAAAUAUUGCACAUAAAGUUUGACACGUAAUAACUUACCCUAUCGUAUUUUUGUUCCCUUGCGAUGUUGGCAAUACCGCCACAGAAGAGAGAGGUUCCAAGAACCAAAAGCAGGUUCGAUAGGACUGAACCCAGAAGGGAAUACUUGACCACAUCUAUUUUAUGUUGGCUUAGUGCGAAAAUUGCUAUGAUCAGCUCGGUUGCAUUCCCGCAUGUUGCAUUCAACAGCCCUCCCACUGUAAAAUUGAAAAUUGUAUUAAUUUAAUUCCAUUGUUCAACAGCCUUUUCAUAUUCUUCAUACAAAAAGAAAUUUUAAUUCUUAGGAAGCUGAAAUGUUCAUUUUGUGACCAUAUGUUGCACCAAACACUCACGCUUGGAAAGAGAGAUAAGAAAUAGGAUUUGACAACUGUUUUUAGGUUUUUAAACACUUGGGAUUCUCUUGUUGAUUUUGGUUUAGACCCACAAGUGUCGAAUCUGCUAGAAACAUAUGGUAGGUAGCAAAGUUGGCAAUCAUGGAGAAAGAUAAAUUGACCCAACCUUUUGAAAACUAAAGUAAUAUAUAUAUGUGUGUGUUGAUAAUUAC
rnacentral:lncRNA from 1 species